rnacentral:rRNA from 1 species
AGGGCGCAUGGUGGAUGCCUUGGCGCCAGAAGUCGAUGAAGGACGCGGCCAGCGGCGAUACGCCACGGGGAGGUGCAAGCAACCUUUGAUCCGUGGAUGUCCGAAUGGGGAAACCCCCUGGAGUGAUAAACUCCAGGACGGCAGCAUGAAGGCCACCGCGCAAGCGGGGGUUAUAGUGAUGUCGAGACAACCCAGGGAAAUGAAACAUCUUAGUACCUGGAGGAAGAGAAAUCAACCGAGAUUCCCUCAGUAGUGGCGAGCGAACGGGGAACAGCCCAAACCCAUCCUAUGAUGGGUGUUGUAGGGCUCACCACCGCCGCAAGGCGGGAGGAGUAAAAAAACGGAAUGUUAGUCGAACGGUCUGGAAAGGCCGACCACAGAGGGUGAGAGUCCCGUAGGCGAAAAUGUUCCGACUCCUGGUGAGUUCCUGAGUAUCACCGGGCACGUGAAAUCCGGUGAGAAACUGGGGAGACCACUCUCCAAGGCUAAAUACUCUCUGGCGACCGAUAGUGCACAAGUACCGCGAGGGAAAGGUGAAAAGGACCUCUGACGAGGAGUGAAAAGAACCUGAAACCGUGCGUUUACAAGCAGCGGAAGAGCUAUGUCCGAAGUCCGCAAGGACGACGGAAAUGCCCGACCGCGUGCCUGUUGAAGAAUGAUCCGGCGAGUUAUUGGUGCAAGCGAGGUUAACCCCGUUGUGCAAGCACCGGGGGAAGCCGUAGCGAAAGCAAGUCCGAAAGGGCGACAUAGUUUGCAUCAAUAGACCCGAAACCAGUCGAUCUAACCCUGGACAGGGUGAAGUCCCAGUAACAUGGGAUGGAGGCCCGAAGCGUUAACUGUUGAAGAAGUUCUGCAUGAGCUGGGGUUAGGGGUGAAAGGCCAAUCGAGGCUGGAGAUAGCUGGUUCUCCCCGAAAUAGUUUUAGGACUAGCCUGGCAUGAUGAUGAGUGGGGGUAGAGCACUGGAUAGUGUAGGGCCUAUUACCUAGGUUCCGAAUCUAACCAAACUCCGAAUACCAUUCAAGUAAUGCUGGAGUCAGUACACGAGGGCUAAGCUUCGUGGGCGAGAGGGAAACAUCCCAGACCGUCGUCUAAGGUCCCUAAAUUCAGGUUAAGUGGUAAAGGUUGUGGAUUUACACUGACAGCGAGGAGGUUGGCUUAGAAGCAGCCAUCCUUUAAAGAGUGCGUAACAGCUCACUCGUCAAGUGAGUCCGCGCCGAAAAUUAACGGGGCUCAAACCUGAUACCGAAGUCACGGCUGUACGGUUCAUGAACCAUGUUCAUGAACUUGUGUUUUAGUCGGGGGUGUUUGAUUGCUGUAGCAUAAGGGAUCAACCAUCCCUUGACCUAAAAUUACGAGGUCUGUGAGCAUAGUUCAUGGACCGUACGGAGUAGGGGAAGCGUUCCGUAUUAGGAUGAAGGCACACCGGAAGGAGUGCUGGACGAAACGGAAGUGAGGAUGUCGGAAUAAGUAGCGAUAAGGUCUGUGAGAAUCAGACCCGCCGCAAGCCCAAGGUUUCCUUGAGUAAAGUUCGUCUGCUCAGGGUCAGUCGGUCCUAAGUCGAGGCCGAAAGGCGUAGAUGAUGGGCAUCAGGUUAAUAUUCCUGAACCGCAUUGUGUGUGUUACGAACGUUGAAGCGACGCAGAAGGGUAAGCCAGCCAUCGAUUGGAUGUGAUGGUUCAAGCUCGUAGGGAGAUCGCCCAGGCAAAUCCGGGUGGUCGUUAAUCCCGAGAGGUGAGCACGACCUUGCCGCAAGGUGAGGGAAGUGGCCCAACCACGCUGCCCAGAAAACCUUCGACGUCAAUACACAGUGUGUCCGUACCGUAAACCGACACAGGUGGGCGAGGAGAAAAUCCUCAGGCGCGCGAGCGAACUCUCGCUUAGGAACUAGGCAAACUGGCCCCGUAACUUCGGAAGAAGGGGUGCCCUAUUUCUUGAACCCGUACAGGGGGAGGGAAAUGGGGCCGCAGUGAAUGGGCUCUCGUGACUGUUUAACAAAAACACAGGACUCUGCUGAAAUCACAAGAUGAUGUAUAGGGUCUGACGCCUGCCCGGUGCCGGAAGGUCAUGGAGAGGUGUUAGCCGCAAGGCGAAGCACUGAACUUAAGCCCCGGUAAACGGCGGCCGUAACUAUAACGGUCCUAAGGUAGCGAAAUUCCUUGUCGGGUAAGUUCCGACCUGCACGAAUGGCGUAACAAAGAGAGCGCUGUCUUGGCGAGAGGCUCGGCGAAAUUGUGGUAUCCGUGAAGACGCGGAUUACCCGCGGUUAGACGAAAAGACCCCAUGAAGCUUUACUGUAACUUGUUAUUGCGUUUUGGGAUUGGAUACGUAGGAUAGGUGGGAGGCGUUGAUGUCCCGGUUUUGGCCGGGGCGGAGCCAACCUUGAAAUACCACCUUUCUAGUUCUGAGACGCUAACCUCGAACCCUCAUUAAACAGGGCGGGGGACAGUGGCAGGCUGGCAGUUUAACUGGGGCGGUUGCCUCCAAAAGAGUAACGGAGGCGUCCAAAGGUUCCCUCAGGGCGAAUAGAAAUCGCCUGUCGAGUGCAAGAGCAGAAGGGAGCUUAACUGCAAGGCCUACAAGCCGAGCAGAUGGGAAACCAGGGUCUAGUGAUCCGGUGGUUGAAUGUGGAAUUGCCAUCGCUCAACGGACAAAAGCUACUCUGGGGAUAACAGGCUUAUAGGAUCCAAGAGCCCAUAUCGACGAUCCUGUUUGGCACCUCGAUGUCGGCUCAUCGCAUCCUCCCGCUGAAGCAGGUGGGAAGGGUUGGGCUGUUCGCCCAUUAAAGCGGUACGUGAGCUGGGUUCAGUACGUCGUGAGACAGUACGGUCUCUAUCUACCGUGGGCGCAGGAAUCUUGAGGGUGAGUCGUCUCUAGUACGAGAGGACCGAGAUGAACGCACCUCUGGCGUACCGGUUGGCCCGCCAGGGCCAUGGCCGGAUAAACUACUGUGCGGACGGGAUAAACGCUGAAAGCAUCUAAGCGUGAAGCCCACCCCAAGAUGAAGAUUCCCCACUCAUUAUGAGUGU